rnacentral:rRNA from 1 species
CCACAGAAGGUAAUAGUCCUGUAUGUUAAACGAGAAAACUUUAGAUAUGAUCCAGAGUACCACGGGACACGUGAAACCCUGUGGGAAGCAGGAGGGACCACCCUCCAAGGCUAAAUACUACCUAGUGACCGAUAGCGUAUAGUACCGUGAGGGAAAGGGGAAAAGAACCCCGGGAGGGGAGUGAAAUAGAACCUGAAACCCUGCACUUACAAGCUGUGGAAGCACAUUUCUUGUGUGACCGCGUACUUUUUGUAGAACGGGCCAACGAGUUACGUUAAGUAGCAAGGUUAAGCACUUAAGGUGUGGAGC